GAUGAACGCUGGCGGCGUGCCUAAUACAUGCAAGUCGAGCGAACAGACGAGGAGCUUGCUCCUCUGACGUUAGCGGCGGGCGGGUGAGUAACACGUGGAUAACCUACCUAUAAGACUGGGAUAACUUCGGGAAACCGGAGCUAAUACCGGAUAAUAUAUUGAACCACAUGGUUCAAUAGUGAAAGACGGUUUUGCUGUCACUUAUAGAUGGAUCCGCGCCGCAUUAGCUAGUUGGUAAGGUAACGGCUUACCAAGGCAACGAUGCGUAGCCGACCUGAGAGGGUGAUCGGCCACACUGGAACUGAGACACGGUCCAGACUCCUACGGGAGGCAGCAGUAGGGAAUCUUCCGCAAUGGGCGAAAGCCUGACGGAGCAACGCCGCGUGAGUGAUGAAGGUCUUCGGAUCGUAAAACUCUGUUAUUAGGGAAGAACAAAUGUGUAAGUAACUAUGCACGUCUUGACGGUACCUAAUCAGAAAGCCACGGCUAACUACGUG
rnacentral:rRNA from 1 species